GAUGAACGCUGGCGGCGUGCCUAAUACAUGCAAGUUGUGCGGUAACAGAGAGAGCUUGCUCUCUGCUGACGAGCGGCGGACGGCAGAGUAACGCGUAGGAACAUACCCCAAACUGAGGGAUAACUGCUCGAAAGAGUAGCUAAUACCGCAUGUGGUCUUCGGAUUAAAAGCUUCGGCGGUUCGGGAGUGGCCUGCGUCCGAUUAGCUAGUUGGUGAGGUAAUUGCUCACCAAGGCGACGAUCGGUAGCUGGUCUGAGAGGAUGAUCAGCCUGACUGGAACUGAGAACGGUCCAGACUCCUACGGGAGGCAGCAGUAGGGAAUUUUCCACAAUGGGCGAAAGCCUGAUGGAGCAACGCCGCGUGCAGGAUGAAUGCCUUCGGUUGUAAACUGCUUUUCUGUGUGAAGAAUAUGACGGUAACACAGGAAUAAGGGUCGGCUAACUACGUGCCAGCAGCCGCGGUAA
rnacentral:rRNA from 1 species